rnacentral:sRNA from 1 species
AAGGAAUAUCAGCUAAGACCUCAUCGC